rnacentral:rRNA from 1 species
UACGUAGGGGGCGAGCGUUGUCCGGAAUUAUUGGGCGUAAAGGGUUCGUAGGCGGUAAUACAUGUCAGAUGUGAAAUCUUGUGGCUUAACCACAUCAAGCAUCUGAAACUGUAUAACUUGAGUGGAGGAGAGGUAAGUGGAAUUCCUAGUGUAGCGGUGAAAUGCGUAGAUAUUAGGAGGAACACCGGUGGCGAAGGCGGCUUACUGGGCUUCAACUGACGCUUAAGCGCGAAAGCUAGGGUAGCGAACGGGAUUAGAUACCCUGGUAGUCCCUGA